rnacentral:tRNA from 1 species
GGGGACGUGGUGUAAUGGGAGCACAGGCGCCUGUCCAGCGCUGGGAGCGGGUUCGAAUCCCGUCGUCUCCACCA